rnacentral:rRNA from 1 species
CCUACGGGAGGCAGCAGUAGGGAAUAUUGCGCAAUGGGCGAAAGCCUGACGCAGCGACGCCGCGUGAGUGAUGAAGGCCUUCGGGUCGUAAAGCUCUGUUGUACGGGAAACGGUACCGUAUAAGAAAGGACCGGCUAACUUCGUGCCAGCAGCCGCGGUAAUACGAGGGGUCCUAGCGUUGUUCGGAAUUAUUGGGCGUAAAGAGUACGUAGGCGGCUAGGUAAGUCAGGUGUGAAAGCCCCGGGCUCAACCCGGGAAGUGCAUUUGAUACUGCUUAGCUUGAGUACUGGAGAGGGUAGUGGAAUUCCAGGUGUAGUGGUGAAAUACGUAGAUAUCUGGAGGAACACCGGUGGCGAAGGCGGCUACCUGGCAGUACUGACGCUGAGGUACGAAAGCGUGGGGAGCAAACAGGAUUAGAUACCCUUGUAGUC